CAAGUAAACUUGCCCAUGAGACUCCAACAGAUAAACUUUUUGUCUACUUGUCCAUUUUCAACACAAAGUCAACAACAAAAAUAAAAUAAAAUAAGAGCUUUAAAAAGAAUGAUGUAUAUUGGUAUUUAUAAGAGAAAAUAAAUAAUAGAAAUGGAAAUACAUAUGCACAAAUACCCAGAUACAAACAGAUAUACCAUAGGCAUGAUAAUUCAGUUUAGAAGAUCAGUAAGCAAGGAUGAUAUUGUUCUUACCCAUAGAUACUCUUCUCCUUGAUAGCUCCCAAGGUAGCGAACAACGUUAGGAUGAUUACAUUGUUGCAACAUCUCAAUUUCGCCUCGAAUUUCUUCAUACCCCUCCUCCUGAAGAUAUAGAUAUAGUUCUAAACCUCAAUUCCUGGUUUCGCUGAACACACUUAACACUGUACAUGAACACUUCAAAAUCACAAGAAAUCAUACCCCUUCACUCAAAGAUAUUACUUUGAUAGCAACCAACUCUGAAGUUUUCUUAUCCCGAGCC
rnacentral:lncRNA from 1 species